rnacentral:rRNA from 1 species
UAUUUGACAAUGGGCGCACGCCUGAUCCAGCCAUGCCGCGUGUGUCAAGAAGGACUUUUGGCUGUAAAGCACAUUAAGCGAGGAGGAGGCUCCUUGGAUUACUAAUCUAUGAUAGUGGACGUGACCAGCAUCAUCAGCACCGGCUAACGCUGUGCAAGCAGCCGCGGUAAUACAGAGGGUUCGAGCGUUAAUCGGCUUUACUGGGCGUAAAGCGUGCGUAGGCGGCUUCUUAAGUCGGAUGUGAAAUCCCUGAGCUUAACUUAGGAAUUGCAUUCGAUACUGGGAAGCUAGAGUAUGGGAGAGGAUGGUAGAAGUCCAGGUGUAGCGGUGAAAUGCGUAGAGAUCUGGAGGAAUACCGAUGGCGAAGGCAGCCAUCUGGCCUAAUACUGACGCUGAGGUACGAAAGCAUGGGGAGCAAAC